rnacentral:misc_RNA from 1 species
GAUAGGAAAACCCAACAUCCGGCUAAGCAUUAGACAGGAGGGUACGAGUAAACAUGCUUCAAGAUGAUUAUACUCUUAAAAUUUAUAAGCAAAAUAUAAUUUUCAUGGAUGUGUAGUCAUGUUUGCUACACUAUCUUCUGCAAAAUGUCUGUUCUUGGCCUACCGCCUCUGAUAUAGGCGCAGCCAGUUUAAACAAUUGUUCAGCUGUAAAAACUCCAACAGCCCUAGAACUUGCGCCGUAUGUAGUACCAUGUAAGUUGCUGUAUUUUAUAACUAUUACCAUUCUAUGUUUCUUUUCCAAAAUUAGAUCAACCACAUGGCCAAUAGAUGUUGUGGUUGUAACACAAGGAGGUGGGCUUCUCAUCAUUGUCGUAAGUGUGGCAUUCAACUCAAAGCAGUCUUCACGAUGCAAUAGUCCAACGCAACAACCCCAUUCGUCCACAAUUGGCACAACUUGAUCCCUAAAGAAGCGCAUGACCACUUUCUUCAAUUCCAAGGUACCAAGUAGUGGUUGAGCUUCUUUUAAUGGUGUCAUGAUACUCUCAAUUGGUUCACUUGGUGAUACCUGAACAAAAAGCUGAGGAAGCAAGGAAGGAUUGAACAAGGAUUUCAUGAAUCCCAACAAGGCCUCUAUUCGCAAAGCAACCUGCAUUACAAAGGUAAGUAAUUGCUGGAACACAUUUAAGAAAUAUAUAGUUAAACAGUCAAUGAUUAAAUUAGUUAAUUUUAUAUGAUAACAAAUCAAUUAUAAAUGAAAUUUUUUGAGAAUGAUAUUGAUCCAAGAUAUGCUCAAUCAAUCCAAAGAAUUAUUGAUACCCACUGAAGAACCUGAAUAGCACUAACACAAUUGCUCACCACUUGCAAAGAACUUUUCAUAAGAUUCUAAAACUAGAAUAAUAUACUGAAUAUGCUUAAAUAGAUCUUCAAUAUAAAUGUAUUAGUUUAGGUGUUUUGCCAAUUUUCCUUUUAUUUUAACCAUGAAAAUUGAAUGGCAUUACUUACCAUGCCUCCUCGACUGGUCCAUGAUAUGCCUUUCCAUUUUUUUAUAAUACUCCUAAGAUUUUCUACAGCUGCAUCAACCUGACCAUCAUUUAAAGCGGCCUCCAUGAGAAGAUGAUCAGCUUCCUCUUGAAUUGCUGGACUAAUAGUUCCUGUUGAAUCUGGCCGUAAGCGCUUGUGCAGAUUUUUAACCAUAUGAUAAUCUCCUUGAAUGCCAAAAGCACGCAUCAGUGACAAAUAGAGGUGAGGCUUUGGACGAAAGUCCCUAUUCAGACCAGCUCGCUUUAUGAUUUCUCCAAAUAUACAAAGAGCACCUUUCAUUGAACCACAGCUUAGCAAUGCAUCAACUGUUGCAGCGAAUGCAGUUCGAUCCAUAAAUAAAUCAUGACACAAUUUCAUUUCCAACACAAUUGUCUGAACUGAAAGGAGAUCCUUCACAUUCCCAAAACCCUUAAGUAACGUAGUGUAGGUGACAACAUCUGGAUAAAGAUUGCCAUUGUUUGAUUUUUGUGCUUUGUCCUUCAUUUCCUGAAAGAAAUGCAUUGCAGCAUCCACAUUUUCAUUCUUGGCACAUGCUAAAAUUAGAGUAUUAUAGGUGAGCCUAUCAGGGGUUAACCCAAUACGUAAUAUCUCAUCUUGCACAGUCAAGGCAGCUUGAGGACACCCAGCAUUUAUAUAUCCCUUCAUUAGUAAGUUGUAUAUCAAGACCGGAGGAUUGCCUCCUUCAAGAAGCAAAAAACCAUAACGCGCAAGAAGACCAUUAGCACGGCGUAAAUCUCCUGAUUCAAUUAUAGCAUUUAAUAGACCGAUGAUGAGUGGCGCCGACAAUUUUGCAUUUCCCCUACCAGAACCUUGUUCCAGGGACUCAAGUAUCUGAAAUGCUUCGUCGAUUCUUCGAGCCUCUCCCAAACCCUUCAAUAGUGUACCAUAUGUGACCCCGUCAACGCCACAACUACCCGGCUUCGACAUCUCAUCGAAGACCCGAAGAGCUGAAUUAAUAUCGCAGCAAUGCACACAAGCCUCCAUCACCGCAUUCAUAACGAUCGUGUUGAGCUUGACAUAGCGUCUCUUGGCAGCUUCAAUUUCUUCAAAAAUCUGUUGGAGUUGUCUUCGACGAGUGAGUUGAACGAUGCGGGAGGUAAGUUGCUUGAGAUUGAAGUGUUUGCGAGGAGUAAUCUUAAUCAGACGACGCCGUGUUGCACCAGAGUAAGAAGAAGAGAAGAAGAUAUUGAGAAAGGGUAACGGUUUUGAUGUCAAGGGCGAUAGAGGUUGAGUUUGAUGCAUUGCUGGUGAUGGAGGAGGACCUCCGCCACGCAAGUGAAGCAGCGGAUAAUGUUUGGACGCAAAAGAGAAGGUUAGAUGCGUCAGAUCCAGACUGGGACUCGGAUGCCCGCCCUAUCCCAUUUGAGCUACGGGCCUCACCCUCAGUGGUCAGCGGCACUGCAGAAAAGAGAUCAUAUUUCGAUACAGCCCCCUUAAUUAAGGGUUAUC